rnacentral:rRNA from 1 species
UACGUAGGGGGCUAGCGUUGUCCGGAUUUAUUGGGCGUAAAGAGCGUGUAGGCGGCCAGGUAGGUCUGCUGUGAAAACUCGAGGCUCAACCUCGAGACGUCGGCGGAAACCAUCUGGCUAGAGUCCGGAAGAGGAGAGUGGAAUUCCUGGUGUAGCGGUGAAAUGCGCAGAUAUCGGGAGGAACACCGGUGGCGAAGGCGGUUCUCUGGGCCUUACCUGACGCGAGGAGCGAA